rfam:Ixodes scapularis strain Wikel colony gcontig_1107728541624, whole genome shotgun sequence.
UCCUGGUUAGCUCAGCUGGUAAAGCUCUCCACUAAAAAUGGAGAAGUCACUGGUUCAAUACAAGGACUAGGCG